GCCACGUCAAUGCCACGUGGGACGGAGACCUAGUCAAACAAGCCACGUAGGCGCCACGUCAGCCAAAACCGCCGAGGGAUCUCGUUUGUCCGGUUUUUGUAAGUUGGGGGACGGGUUGUACCCGUUUUGCGGUCAAGGGAUGAAAAUCGGACUGGGCGACAAAAUAGAGGGAUCCAAAGUUGACUUAUUCCUUUUUAAAGUUGGGGGAGACGUUAUACCUGGUUGGUUUUACAGUUGGGGAUGCGAUUCAACAAGCCCAAGAGGGAGUCAGAAUAGACUUAUUCCGCAAUCCAAUAAGACCGGAGCAAGAGAUCAUCUCCAAAAGCCAAAAAAAAAAAAAAAAGAAGAUCAAACCACUCCCCAGUCCCCACACUGAAUAGGGUUUGGUUACUUUUGUCGUUCUGUAGGCGAGUAGAUAGCUCCGCCCGCCGUUCGCCGGCGCCGUCGCCGUCGCCGUCGCCGGUGCGAAUUUGAGUUCAAAACCGAACCGCAAAUUGGCAGGAGAGGAGAAGAGGAGAGAUCUGAAGGAGGGGGAAACGGAAGUGAUUUCUCGGUCAGAUCCGAGGGAGGAAGGGGGUAUCUUCGUGAGCUCGUCUUUGGGGAUGUUGGCGCCGAACCGGCUCAUGUCCCAGCGGCGCGGCCGGCGGCGGCGGCGGCAUCGCCGGCCGCAAAUCCGAGCCCGCUCAGCUGGGUUUAUUGCCUCAACGGGUAAAAGAAAGAUAUCACCGUGUGAACAUGAUGGCGAUGGUCAUUCUCAAGCUGGCAAAAUGAUGAGAAAUUCAAUCCCAUAUCUUCCUGAGGACAUAUUGUCUCGUAUACAUUCCUUUAUGUCAAUGCGUGAAGCUGCUCGUGCUGCUUGCGUAUCUCGUGCUUUUCUACGUUCUUGGAGGUGUCAUCCCAAUCUUAUCUUUAAUAAAGACACGAUUGGCUUGAAGAGAAAUGCGUUUGGCGAGAAUUUCCACGGAAAAAUUGGGUGCAUUCUCAGGAACCACUCAGGCAUUAGCUUGAAAACGUUCAAGCUUGACUACAGUGGCAUGUGUGGGUUCGAUGGCACUAGUUAUCUUGACAGUUGGCUUCAGAUUGCUCUUAAACCAGGGAUCGAAGAACUCACCCUUUUUUUGUUUGACACAAACAAACAAUACAACUUCCCAUGCUCACUUUUGUCUGAUGGGGUUCGAGACUCACUUCGGUACAUUAAACUUCGAUUUUGUGCCCUCCAUCCCACACCUGAACUUGCCCCCUUGAGAAGCCUAACAAGUCUGUCUCUGUGGUUAGUGAGCUACAUGGGCUGAGUUAGAGUGCCUUCUUUCCAACUCUCUUGCUUUGGAGCAUUUAGAGCUCACUCAAUGCACGAAGAUAACUUGCCUGAAGAUACCUUUCGCCCUACAGCAGCCCAGCAGACUUAGUGUUUUUGAAUGCUCAAGCUUGAAAGUGAUAGAGAGCAAAGCUCCAAAUCUCUCUAGUUUUUUCCAUAGAGGAUUCAGGGUUAACUUCUCAGUUGUGGAAACGCUGCAAAUGAAGAAACUAGACAUGGGAUGUGCAAUCCAUGAUGCUCGUGCCAAUCUGCCAUCCAUUAUGCCAAAUCUUGAAACUCUUGUCAUUGAAUCAGUGAAUGAGGUGGUUGAUGCACCAAUGCUACCUACCAAAUUCAUCUACCUUAAGCACCUGACCAUUCGUAUGAUAACAGGAUCGACCAUUUCCCGGCCAUAUGACUAUUUCUCUCUGGUUUCUUUUAUCAAUGCAUCUCCUUCCUUGGAGACUUUGAUAUUAAAUGUGACUCUACGUAUGGUGAAUGAAUCGAUUUUCACGGAUUCACAACUGAGACACAUACCUGAACACCACCAUGGCCACCUCAAGAGUGUGAAGAUCACUGGUUUCAGCUCUGCGAAGAGCUUGGUGGAACUAACAUGUUAUAUCCUCAAUAAUGCGGUGUCACUUGAGUGUCUUACAUUGGAUACCAUUUAUGGUCCUAGGUGUGAUCAAGAUAAGUAUAGGCGGUGUUUUCCCAUGAUAGAUGGUGUUCUCACGGAAGCUCCAAGGGGGCUCGCGGCUAUCAGAACAUACAUUGAGGAUAAAGUUCCAUCUACAGUUAAUUUGACUGUUCUGGAACCUUGCAGCCGGUGCCAUGUUAGAAGAAGAGUGCAAACAUCAUCUCAAUCGGACAAUGCUGUUUCCAUAUAAUUUUAGAUGAACCAAGAUUUGUUUCCUUAACUAUUUAUGGCUGUGGUCCAAUGUACAUUAGUUCCAUUUAAUUUUAGAUGGACAAAGCUUUCUCUCUGAUUUAUCAGACCUGUUUAAUGUUUAUUAUUUGUAGUACAACAUAUAUUUUGGUCCAAGAUUGAAAUUUUCACAUA